UCCUCCCUCUUUCUUCCUGCCUAACACAUGCAAGUCGAACGGGAAGUUCUGGUUUUGUGGCGGACCGGGGGGUUACGACGGGGGACCAGCCCGUAGGUACGGAAUCAAUCACUGGAAGGGGUGCUAAUAACGCAGAAGGUCUUAGCGCCAAAGAGUGAUUGCCUCUGGAUGGGCGCGCGUUUGUUUCGCGUGUUGGUAGGGUAACAGCCGAUCAUGGCGCGGUUCCCUAGCUGGUGUGAGAGGAUGUUCAGCCACACUGGGGCUGAGACACGGCCCAGACUCCUACGGGAGGCAGCAGUGGAGAAUAUUGGACAAGGGGCGAAGGCCUGAUCCCGCAAUGCCGCGUGAGUGAUGAAGGCCUUAGUGUUGUAAAGCUCUUUUACCCGGGAUGAUAAUGACGGUACCGGGUGAAUAAGCACCGGCUAACUCCGUG
rnacentral:rRNA from 1 species